rnacentral:tRNA from 1 species
GCCGGGUGGUGAAACAGGUAGACGCAGGGGACUCAAAAUCCCCCGCCGCAAGGCGUGUCGGUUCGAGUCCGACCCCGGGCACCA